GUCGUAGUAUAGUGGUGAGUAUCCCGCCUGUCACGCGGGAGACCCGGGUUCGAUCCCCGGCAACGGCG
rnacentral:tRNA from 1 species